rnacentral:misc_RNA from 1 species
UUUCCGUAGGUGAACCUGCGGAAGGAUCAUUAUCGCAUAAUCGUGGUGCGAGUGUUGUCGCUGACCAGGAAGGUGGUGCAUUCUCGAGUGUUCCUACACACAACCAACACACCCCUCUGUACAGCACCGCAAGGGUCCCCCUUUAGCCUAUUCGGCGCGGAGCAUCGGAUUUCUUAGCACCCGCGUAGAUGGAGAAGGAUGCAUUUUUUGUGUUUGCGCUUCUGCACUCCAUACAACUUUCAUCAACGGAUCUCUUGGCUCCUGCUUCGAUGAAGAACG